rnacentral:misc_RNA from 1 species
AAAAUAAUCCUACCCUUUGUGAAUUUUGUUUGUUUGAAUAAUUUUUUUUUUAAAAAAAUUAUUGGAGUCUUUCCCUUUAGAGUUUGCUUUGAGUUUGUAAAAGAAUUCGAAAACAUCUAAAGGGGAUGGUCAAUAAUUUUUUUGAAAAAAGACAUUUUUUAAAAUUAAACUUUUUGUAUUCAUUUGUCUAAAAAUUAUUUUUAUAAUAUAAAAACAACUUUUGACAAUGGAUCUCUUGGUUCUCGCAACGAUGAAGAACGCAGCAAAAUGCGAUAAGUAGUGUGAAUUGCAGAAUACGUGAAUCAUCGAAUCUUUGAACGCAUAUUGCACUUUUUUAGUUUACUAAAAAAGUAUGUCUGUUUGAGUAUCAAUAAAAUAUUCUCAUAAAAAUCAUUGUAUUUUUAUGGUUAUGAGUGUUUUACAACGAUACAAGUUGUUUCACUUUAAAUUUUUUUUUAAUAUUGAAAUUUUUCUAAUUUUAAUAAUUAAAAUUGGAUAAAAUUUUCCCGUCAAAAGGAAUAACCUAAACAAUUUUAAAUGAUUAAUUUUAGCAAAAUUUUCGAAAAAAGGAAAAUUUUUAUUAAAAUAACUUGAUCUCAAAUCAGAUAAGAGUACCCGCUGAACUUAAGCAUAUCAAUAAGCGGAGGAAAAGAAACUAACAAGGAUUCCCUUAGUAACGGCGAGUGAAGCGGGAAGAGCUCAAAUUUGAAAUCUUCAAGGUUUUACCUUGACGAAUUGUAGUUUAAAGAAGUGUUUUCUGCUGAAGUUUUGGUAAAAGUUCUUUGGAAUAGGACAUCAUAGAGGGUGAGAAUCCCGUAUUUGACCAUUAUUUUCAGCUUUGUGAUACACUUUCAAAGAGUCGGAUUGUUUGGGAAUGCAGUCCAAAAUGGGUGGUAAAUUUCAUCUAAAGCUAAAUAUUGGCGAGAGACCGAUAGCGAACAAGUACCGUGAGGGAAAGAUGAAAAGAACUUUGAAAAAGAGAGUUAAACAGUACGUGAAAUUGUCAAAAGGGAAGCGUUUGACACCAGUGUUGUUUUCUCGAAAAUCAAUUAAAAAUGGCUCGAUUUUGUAUUGCUGAGACCUUAAAAGCUCACUGUACAUUUUUCGUGUCUUUUUAAUGCACUUUUCGUUUAACAAGUCAACAUCAGUUCCUUUUGUUGUAAAAGGGUCAUUGGAAGGUGGCUUUCUUUUCGGAGAAAGUGUUUAUAGCCUUUGGCCUCUGCAAUCGGAGAGACUGAGGUCUGCAGCGUAGACUCUUCGGGGUUAGAUACAUUUGUGCUAAGUUAUAGCUUUUUAUAGACAACUUGUUGACUAUAAUUAGUCUUGUAGCUUACUCGCUUAUGCUAUUUUA